UACGUAGGGGGCAAGCGUUGUCCGGAUUUAUUGGGCGUAAAGAGCGUGUAGGCGGCCAUGCAGGUCCGCUGUGAAAACUCGAGGCUCAACCUCGAGACGUCGGUGGAAACCGCAUGGCUAGAGUCCGGAAGAGGAGAGUGGAAUUCCCGGUGUAGCGGUGAAAUGCGCAGAUAUCGGGAAGAACACCCGUGGCGAAGGCGGCUCUCUGGGACGGUACUGACGCUGAGACGCGAAAAGCGUGGGGGAGCGAACAGG
rnacentral:rRNA from 1 species